UUCACUGCCUUGGCAGAGAAGUGCAUCCAGCAGAGCGGCCCAGAGAGAGGAGCUGAGGAGAUGGUGCAAACCCUCAAUGCCUACAUGGGUGACAUUCUGGAACAGGUGCUGGCUUUUGGAGGAGACAUCCUGAAGUUUGCAGGGGAUGCCAUGCUGGUGCUGUGGAGAGCAGCAGGGCCUCAGCUGCCUACGGCCAUCAACCUGGCGCUGCAGUGCUGCAGGAAGGUCCAGAAGAAGUACGGCACUUAUGACAC